CUCUCGGUCGUCUAGUUGGUUUAUGACGUCAGACUGUAAUUGUUUCAUUGUAAUCUGGAUGUCGCGUGUUCGACUCACGCCUGAGAGA
rnacentral:tRNA from 1 species